rnacentral:rRNA from 1 species
UACGAGGGGGGCGAGCGUUGCUCGGAAUCACUGGGCGUAAAGCGCACGUAGGCGGAUUGUUAAGUCAGGGGUGAAAUCCUGGAGCUCAACUCCAGAACUGCCUUUGAUACUGAGAGUCUUGAGUACGGGAGAGGUGAGUGGAACUGCGAGUGUAGAGGUGAAAUUCGUAGAUAUUCGCAAGAACACCAGUGGCGAAGGCGGCUCACUGGCCCGAUACUGACGCUGAGGCACGAAAGCGUGGGGAGCAAACAGG